GGGCCCGCACAAGCGGUGGAGCAUGUGGUUUAAUUCGAUGAUACGCGAGGAACCUUACCAGGGCUUAAAUGUAAGUUGCAUAGAUCAGAGAUGGUCUUUUCUUCGGACUACUUACAAGGUGCUGCAUGGUUGUCGUCAGCUCGUGCCGUGAGGUGUCAGGUUAAGUCCUAUAACGAGCGCAACCCCCUAUCGUUAGUUGCCAUCAAGUAAAGUUGGGAACUCUAGCGAAACUGCCGGUGCAAACCGAGAGGAAGGUGGGGAUGACGUCAAAUCAUCACGGCCCUUACGUUCUGGGCUACACACGUGCUACAAUGGUCGGUACAGAAAGCAGCCACUAUGCGAAUAGGAGCUAAUCUUUAAACCGAUCUC
rnacentral:rRNA from 1 species